rnacentral:misc_RNA from 1 species
AACAGCAUCAGAGUAUGGAACAAAUGAAUUCCCAUUGAGGCAAACCUUCCCAAGGAAGGAUCUGGAGUUGGUAGCUGUGAUAUUAUUGUAGACGCAGACAUCAAGAGCAAGAUAGUGGAGGUUGGUUGGGUCAGAAAUGUUGAAGUAGAAACUUUCAUUCCAAACAGGACUGAGGUCUUUCUCCUUGAUGGUGGUACGGAACCUCUGGCCAUCGAAGUAGAGCUCCACAAAGGCACUUGAUGAACCUUGCCCAUCUUUUGGCAAAAGAUUGUGAGCACUAACCACAUCUACCCCUAGCUUAAGGUUGCUCAUGUUGAUAUCAAGCAGGUGGACUUCUUUAACAAAAUGUUAACUACCAGCAAGACAGAAGACAGUUAUACGUACCUUGGUUAUUCAGCGAAAAUUCUUCAGAUUGUAGCCAUUUUCAAGAGAUGAAGAGCUCUGCAUGAACAUAUCCCAUACAUCAUCUAUAUAAUUUAAUAACGUUAAAAAGAAAGGGUGCAUUUAAGUCUACAUAGAGAGAGCAUGUGUAUGUCAUGGCAGUGAAGGACGGGCACGACCAACGAGGAGAGAGAUAGAGAGAAGAAGCAUCAAUGCAGUUGGACUGUGACAGGGAAGCGAGAGAUAUGGGCCAUUUUUUAUAGAUACAAUGCUUUGCAAUUGGUGUCUCCGGUGCAGAUGCAGAGAGCAAAGCCGGGUUCUCUCUCUC